rnacentral:snRNA from 1 species
GUGCUUGCUUUGGCAACACAUAUACUAAAAUCGAACAAUACAGAGCAGAUUAGCAUGACCCUGAGCGAGGAUGACACGCAAAUUUGUGAAAUGUUCCAUAGUUUU